UACUAGCUUGCUAGUAUGUCAGCUAAGUGGCGGACGGGUGAGUAAUGUAUAGUUAAUCUGCCCUUCAGAGGGGGAUAACAGUUAGAAAUGACUGCUAAUACCCCAUACUCCUUUUUAAUUAAUUUAGAUUGGGAAAUGUCUUUUCGCUGAAGGAUGAGACUAUAUGGUAUCAGGUAGUUGGUGGGGUAAGAGCCUACCAAGCCAAUGACGCCUAGCUGGUCUGAGAGGAUGAUCAGCCACACUGGAACUGAGACACGGUCCAGACUCCUACGGGAGGCAGCAGUGGGGAAUAUUGCACAAUGGGGGAAACCCUGAUGCAGCAACGCCGCGUGGAGGAUGACACAUUUCGGUGCGUAAACUCCUUUUAUAUGGGAAGAUAAUGACGGUACCAUAUGAAUAAGCACCGGCUAACUCCGUGCCAGCAGCCG
rnacentral:rRNA from 1 species